AGUGAACGCUGGCGGCGUGCUUAAGACAUGCAAGUCGAACGGCAGUCUUCGGACUGUAGUGGCGCACGGGUGAGUAACGCGUAACUGACCUACCCCAGAGUCGCGGAUAACGAUUCGAAAGAAUCGCUAAUACGUGAUGUGCUGUCAGAUUGUGUUCUGCCAGUAAAGAUUGAUUGCUUUGGGAUGGGGUUGCGUUCCAUCAGCUAGUUGGUGGGGUAAAGGCCCACCAAGGCGACGACGGAUAGCCGGCCUGAGAGGGUGGCCGGCCACAGGGGCACUGAGACACGGGUCCCACUCCUACGGGAGGCAGCAGUUAGGAAUCUUCCACAAUGGGCGAAAGCCUGAUGGAGCGACGCCGCGUGAGGGAUGAAGGUCUUCGGAUCGUAAACCUCUGAAUCAGGGACGAAAGACACUUCGGUGGGAUGACGGUACCAGAGUAAUAGCACCGGCUAACUCCGUGCCAGCCGCCGCCGUAAUAC
rnacentral:rRNA from 1 species